rnacentral:rRNA from 1 species
AUUGAACGCUGGCGGCAGGCCUAACACAUGCAAGUCGAACGAGUGGCGGACGGGUGAGUAAUGUCUGGGAAACUGCCCGAUGGCGGGGGAUAACUACUGGAAACUGUAGCUAAUACCGCAUACCAUCGGAUGUGCCCAGAUGGGAUUAGCUAGUAGGUGGGGUAACGGCUCACCUAGGCAACGAUCCCUAGCUGGUGUGAGAGGAUGACCAGCCACACUGGAACUGAGACACGGACCAGACGCCUACGGGAGGCAGCAGGGGGGAAUAUUGGACAAUGGGCGCAAGCCUGAUGCAGCCAUGCCGCGUGUAUGAAGAAGGCCGUCGGGUUGUAAAGUACUUUCAGCGGGGAGGCGUUACCCGCAGAAGAAGCACCGGCUAACUCCGUGCCAGCAGCCGCGGUAAUUC